CCUAUAAAGCCUAGGCCUCUAUGCCUGUUGCAUUUUGAAGGUGAGGAGUAUCAGGAGAAGCUGAAGCUGGAUGAUCAGAAGAGGGCGACUGAGGAGAAGUACAAGUACGAGAGGAGGCAGAUCCGAGAACUUCAGGAAGACAUUCAGGGCAUGAACAAUACACUCCACAGCCUGCUUCAAGUGGAGGCCGCUCAGAACGAGAGGACUGAACGAGAGGUCACGUAUCCUGUCCAUUAACAAAGAUCUGGUUUCCCUGCAAGAGAAGCUCGACAGGGUCACUAAACAGGUCAGCAGCAGCACCAGGGCAUCGUCAGUGCAGUCUCCCCCCUUUAAGAUUCUGUAGCUGAUGGGUGAGUUGAAGGAGUCAGGCGCAGGAGUGUAAAUCACAGAAUAACAGGAUUUAUUCCGGAAAACAGAAUUACGCAGGAAUGCGUCAAAACAAUCCAGUGCGCAAAACAGGCACACUGGAACCAACAAGGCACACGGGAAAAUACAAGGAGCUCCACCGAGCUUCACUCUCCUCACAAGAAACAAUCACACUCAAAGACAAGGGGGCAGAGGGAACACUUAUACAGGUACUGAUGAGGGAAUAUGA